ensembl:lncRNA
AACAGGUCUCCAAUCCACUCCAUCAAAACUAGAACCAAAAACUUUGACAGAGUUCCCUUAAGACAGAGAGAAACACAGAAAACACAUUCCAUCUGGUAAAUAAUUGCUGGGGUUGCAUUCCUGUGCAUUCAGGCAGGAGCGAACUUCUCUACGGCAUAAAGCUGUGAAAAUGGCUGGGCCUAAUGGGGCGACGUGAGAUAAGAUCCCCUUAGACCUCUCCUAUCCUCGGAUUGCAGCCUCUGGGGUGCUGGUGCAUGCUAGACUCUCCGCUCACCCACACUCGGAUGAACUAGACAGACGCAAGAUUAUUCCAAGAUGACUGAGAAGUUCACUCUGAAGUACAAAAGGUUGGAUGGACUCAUGCCGCCAAUAUUCCACAGGAAUGAAGAGGAAUAUUUGCCAAGGUGGCUUUCAGAUGCCCAUCGUGGCAGAACAAGGUCAGAUGUGGUUCUAAGUUACCUGGCUUCUUCCUAAAGAGCAGUAAUGACAACAAAAGCCUGGAGCUACAAGGCGCCAUCACAUAGAACCUGAGAAUGAAGCAAUAACUGCAGAAAGGGGAACCAAUAGACGGAGAGAAUCUGAGUCCUGAGGUCAUUGGCUGAGACGCUGAUCAAGCUGAACCUGAAGCCGGUGCUUCCCCUGGACUUUCAGUGCAAGUAAGGACUACUGGCAGCAAAAGUCUUAUUUUAUGCCUUCCUGUGAUGGAAAAACUAGGGAGUCUGUACCACCUGGACUGAAGACUGACUUGGAUCUCGGGGCCAACAGAACUUUGUUCCAAGUUCCAAGGCCAUCGUUGGAAUCAGUGGGUCAUUAACAGCGCACUAGAGGGCACUGAGCUAAAGGUCCCUGCACAUAUGGAAGCGCACAGGGGCACGGUUUGGGAUUAUUGGGAGAAUGCAUGAGUCAAUGGCUACGGAAAAUGCUGCACACCUACUCUGUGAAGAGGGAAGCGCCAAGAACAACUGCCACUUUCAUUUGGGGUCAGGAUUCUUGAUUCCUGCUAUCUGUUGACGUCUAUAAUCUUGGUGUUAUGCUUACAAGGGAGAGCCUCAAGCGGUAUUAAGUAUAUUAUUUUAAGAAUGAUGUGGCUUCUGGCAUCAUAUUUUGAAAAUCAAAGAUUGUAAUUUUAGGGAUAAUGGAAUACUCAAAAGGGAGUAUUCUGUAAAGCUGAGGGUGUAUGGUCAGCAGAGAGAUAUUCUUUACAAACAGUGGACUACGAGUUAGGAGAUGGCCUCAAGUCCCUCCCCCGUCAGUGAUCUUGAGCCAUUGUGGCAACACAUUCUGGGCCUCGUCCCCCCCCCAUCUGUAAAAUGGGGGUGUUUGACUCAUUGUUUCUUAACUGGGGUGAAUUCUGGAGUCACCUGGGAAGAUCCCCAAAGGCAGAAUUCUGGUUUUGUUUCUUGCUGUGUUUCUAAGGCAUAGAAAAGUACUUGGCACAGGGUAAAUACUCAAUAAAUAUUUUUUUAAUGAAGAAAUAAAACUUUUAAAAAAUUCACAGAGCAGGAUCCAGUCCAGAAAGCUCACAUCGUAUGGGCUAGAAACUGUACAUACAUUUUGUAAAAGCCCUCUGGAUCAUUUUGCCAAGCACUCUGGGCUUAAGAACCACUAAACCCAACAAUCCCCAAGGUUCCUUCCCUGAAGAAUUGUCAGAUUUAGCAAAGAAAAAUGUAAGACAUCCAGUUAAAUUUGAAUUUCAGAUAAACAAUGAAAAUGUUUUAGUCUAAAUAUGUACCAUGCACUAUUUGGUUGUCGCAAAACUUGUAGAAAGAUGACUAGGUAAGGCUUCUGCUUAGGCUGAUGGUUAGAGGCAGAGGGUGGCACCUUGAAACUGGCCCAGAUUUGGGAAUCAGACAGAUAAUCUUGGUCUGAGUCUCUGCCCUGAUUGUGUGAUCUGAACAAAUUGCUCAACUUCACUGGGCUUCGUAACUCGAGUGUCUAUCCUGUAGAGCUGCUGAAAGUAUUGGAGAUAUUACAGGAAUGAUGGUAGCAGGUAUCUGAUAACGUUUAGCUGUUUUUACUGUUGGUUUGAAGAAAGAAAGUCAGUAUCAAUGAGACCUUUGUUGACACACUGUCAACUAGCAAACUGGCAUUCUGAAAUGACCAAGAUUAUAGGUAAUAGUUCUGGGCAGACCUGGGCAAAGUUAGAGGGAACGCUGAUCUUCUUUAGAACAAUACCUCUAUGUGUGGGGGAACAAAACAUACUAAAAAUUAAUAGAUUAUCCAGAAUAAAUAAAGGAAGGAAGUUCUUUCGUUUCAUUCAUUAUAAAAUGUCAUUUGCUCAACUGACUUUUUCUAAUGUCAAAGGUAAACAUUUGUUCAGGUUUUACAGGGUCACUAUACAGAGGGAUAGACUAUUAUUUGGGCAGUGGAAGUACUUCAAUCCUAACCUUGUUUCCCUCUCUUCUAGGUUAAAGACACAGUCUGUUUCUAGAGCUUCUGUUGUUUCUAGAAAUUUCUAACGCAUUUCUUCUGUUUAAAAAAUACACAUGCAACAAAUAUGAAAUAUUCAUUAAAAGGAAACGGUUCUCUCUAGAAAAAUCUAUUUGGACAAAAAUCUUUAGAUAAUUUCAUUAUCAAAUGUGAAGAGCUACGGCUGGAAAAUAAAUUGACCAUUACAUUUUCAACUGAGCUACUCGGAUAUCAACUGCAUACUUUAAGCCCCCUGUUGUUAUUUCGUUGUCUAUCCACCACAUAUUUAUUGUUGAGCCUGUAUUAUAUACUGGAGACUGUUCUAAGUGCUUGGGAUCCUUAGUGAACAAAACAGACCCAAAUCCUUGCCUCUGUGGAGCUUGUCUUCUGGGAUAGAGAGAGAAACAGAAGCACCCUAGAUAAGUGAGUUAAGUAGGAUACAGAUGGCGCAAUCUGUUGGUGAUGGAAGGAGCCGUGCUGAUCUGGGGGAUGAGAAGAGGGGCGUCAAGCACAAAUGACCUAAGGCAGGAGCCUGCCUGGAGUGUUCCAAGAAUAGCAAGGAGGCCAAUGUGGCUGCAGUGGAGAGAGGACAGAGGGAGUAGAAGGAGAGAAGACCAAGUAACUAUUAUCCUAAUCAUGAUAAAGGACUCCACGAAUCUAACUUCCAGUUUUGAGUUUUAGUUUACUUACUCUGUGACUACAGGGAGAUCCUGAACUGCUUACCUGGAAUGGUGGUCCUUAACUUGUAAAACAUGGGUAGGUUAGAGAUUUACUUCACAAAACUAUGACUAGAGGGAAUCAGUAUAUAGCUUAGUGAUGAUGUAUGUGCUUUAAUGGAUGGAUCUGAGUUCACAGUCUGACUUCCUUACUUGCUAGAGGUGUGCCCUUGGGCAAGUUCCUUCAACUCUCUGUGCUUCAAGUUCCAUCUCUAUGAAAUAAGGCAACUAAAAUUACCCCCUUUCAAACUGUGAGGGUUAGAGGAGAGGGUCUGUGUAAAAUGCUUAGCACAGAGCUUGGCACAUAGAAAGUACUAAAUAAAUAUCAUCAUUAUUUCUUGAAAAGUAUAAUUAGGAGGAUUAGGUACUUUGAAAUAUCUAUUUAAUAUUUAAUAUCAAAACAUGUUUUCAGUAAAAGUGUCUUAUUAUUGUUAUUACUAGUGGUAGCGAGCCUCCAAGAUGAUCCCCAAUGAUCCCUGUCUCUGAGUAUUCACACCCUUGUAUAGUCCCCUCCCACAUUGUACCAGGAUUGGUCUAUGUGACCAUAGAAUAUGGCAGAAGUGAUGGUAUGUCACUUUUGAGAUUAAGUUAUAAAAGACACUGUGGCUACCAUCUUAGUCAUUCAUUCUCUCUCUCAAUCAUCACUUGUUCUGGGGGAAGCCAGCUGCCAUGUCAUGAGCAGCCCUAGGGAGAGGUAUCCCUUAUGGAGAAGUCCACGUGACAAGGAACUGAGGCUUUUUGCCAACACCAUGUGCGUUAGGGCCUCCUUGGAAGUGAACCCACUAGCCUUGGUCAAGUCUUCAGAUGAAAGCAGCCCUCACUGACGUCUCGACUGCCGCUUCAUGAGACCCUGAGGCAGAACUAUGCAGCUAAGCAGAUCCCAGAUUCCUGCCCCUCAGAAACUGUGAGAUGAUAAAUGUUUGUUGUCUCAAACUUCUAAGUUUUGGGGUAAUUUGUUUAUGCAGCAAUAAAUAACUAAUACAAUAGUUUACAU